UGGGGAAUUGUUCGCAAUGGGCGCAAGCCUGACGACGCAACGCCGCGUGGAGGAUGAAGGUCUUCGGAUUGUAAACUCCUGUUGCCCGGGACGAAACGCUCCGACCUAACACGUUGGAGUCUGACGGUACCGGGUGAGGAAGCCCCGGCUAACUCUGUGCCAGCAGCCGCGGUAAUACAGAGGGGGCUAGCGUUGUUCGGAAUUACUGGGCGUAAAGGGCGCGUAGGUGGCCUGUUAAGUCGAACGUGAAAUCCCCGGGCUCAACCCGGGAACUGCGUCCGAGACUGGCAGGCUCGAAUCCGGGAGAGGGAUGUGGAAUUCCAGGUGUAGCGGUGAAAUGCGUAGAUAUCUGGAGGAACACCGGUGGCGAAGGCGGCAUCCUGGACCGGUAUUGACGCUGAGGCGCGAAAGCCAGGGGAGCAAACGGGAUUAGAUACCCCGGUAGUCCUGGCCCUAAACGAUGAAUGCUUGGUGUGGCGGGUAUCGAUCCCUGCCGUGCCGAAGCUAACGCAUUAAGCAUUCCGCCUGGGGGGUACGGUCGCAAGGCUGC
rnacentral:rRNA from 1 species